rnacentral:lncRNA from 1 species
AAAUUUUCGGGGUACGAAGUGAGAUUACUUUUUCCGUAAAUUAGCAAACCCCGAACAUCCUUUUGUGAUGCGAUUCCUUUGGGUAAAAUAUCCCCUUUUUAACACAAUAAGUUAUUUGAAAAUUUAAUACUUUGAACACAUUCAAUAGCUCCAUAGUUUUAACACAUUUAUUCUAUGUUCCUCUACUUUCCUAAUCACCACAAAUAAUUAAGUUCAGUCAUUUGUUAAAAAUAGAAACAUGUCCAAUAUCACUACACAGAGAUUUUUUCUUUACACGUGACUUUUGAGUUCCUCAUUUCGAGGCGCAUUAGGGAUGUUGUCCCAGAUAC